rnacentral:rRNA from 1 species
CAGCCGCCACGGUAAUACGGAGGGGGCUAGCGUUGUUCGGAAUUACUGGGCGUAAAGCGCACGUAGGCGGCUUGGUAAGUUAGAGGUGAAAGCCUGGAGCUCAACUCCAGAAUUGCCUUUAAGACUGCCGAGCUAGCAGGUGAGAGAGGUAAGUGGAAUUCCGAGUGUAGAGGUGAAAUUCGUAGAUAUUCGGAAGAACACCAGUGGCGAAGGCGGCUUACUGGCUCAUACUGGACGCUGAGGUGCGAAAGCGUGGGGAGCAAACAGGAUUAGAUACCCCCGUAGUCCCUGUCUCUUAUAC